AUCCAGCUGACGAGUCCCAAAUAAGAGGAGACGCGAGUCCUGGAU
rfam:Schistosoma mansoni strain Puerto Rico chromosome 3, complete genome